UGAACAUUGGUGUUAAAGCAUAAAAAGUUUUGAUCUUUUAGGUUGUAGUGAAAAUCUGCAAUGUACAU
rnacentral:tRNA from 1 species